UACGAGAGGCCCAAACGUUAUUCGGAAUUACUGGGCUUAAAGAGUUCGUAGGCGGCAUUGCAAGUAGGGUGUGAAAGCCCUCGGCUCAACCGAGGAAUUGCGCUCUAAACUGCAGUGCUCGAGGAAGCUAGAGGUGAGCAGAACAGAUGGUGGAGCGGUGAAAUGCGUUGAUAUCAUCUGGAAUACCGGAGGCGAAGGCGGCUCACUGGGGCUUUUCUGACGCUG
rnacentral:rRNA from 1 species